rnacentral:rRNA from 1 species
UACGUAGGGUCCGAGCGUUGUCCGGAAUUACUGGGCGUAAAGAGCUCGUAGGUGGUUUGUCGCGUUGUUCGUGAAAACUCACAGCUCAACUGUGGGCGUGCGGGCGAUACGGGCAGACUAGAGUACUGCAGGGGAGACUGGAAUUCCUGGUGUAGCGGUGGAAUGCGCAGAUAUCAGGAAGAACACCCGUGGCGAAGGCGGCUCUCUGGAAC